rnacentral:tRNA from 1 species
ACUUUAAUAAUUUAAUAAAAAUAUUGAUUUUGUAAAUCAAAAAUAAGAGUCCUUUUAAAGUU